UCGUAUCUAACUUCGGGUAUUUUUUCUUUUCCGGCUCUCUAUUGUCCACCAGGCAACGGGUCGGUUGCAAACUGGCUUGAGAACUCUCCUCAGCCAGUGCCAACCUCACCCCUUUGAGAGCUCCGGCUUCCCACUGUCAGAAAAGUUUAAACUCAAACUAAAAAAAAACAAUUUACUUUGUGGAUUCCUACAUUUACAGAUCCCUCAGUGCCGUGCAUCUGCGAGCCAGCCUUCAAAGCUCCUCACAGGCCACCGGAACACAGACGGACCCUGACUGCAGACUACCACUCGAGAUCGUUCCUCUCGGCUGGACAUUUAUAAUCUCUUCGAACUUUAUGAUUCGCAGCCGUACUCUCCAACUUUCGUGUUCGAGAACGGACUGCGACUCAUAAAUUUGUCUUAGAUUGGGCGCCAUUAUUGUUACGAACCUGUUUUGGUGUUGGGGCAAGGCCGGCUAGCCAGUCAUCCCAGGGCUGAGUUCUUCCCAGGCCCCCAGGUCGCACAACAAACCAACUGUUCGGACAUCUCGAACAAAUAUCAAAAACAAACGAUAAUUCAAAACAAUGCAUCGGACUUUACUCUACAUCUAACGGAC
rnacentral:lncRNA from 1 species